rnacentral:rRNA from 1 species
GAAUAUUGGGCAAUGGGGGAAACCCUGACCCAGCGACGCCGCGUGGGUGAUGAAGGCCUUCGGGUCGUAAAGCCCUGUCGGGAGGAAAGAAUGCUCUUGUGGUAAAUACCCGCAAGAUGUGACGGUACCUCCGAAGGAAGCCCCGGCCAAUUCCGUGCCAGCCGCCGCGGUAAGACGGAAGGUGCAAGCGUUGCUCGGAAUCACUGGGCGUAAAGGGUGCGUAGGCGGUUUCUUAAGUCUGGUGUGAAAGCCCAGGGCUCAGCUCUGGAAGUGCACUAGAAACUGAGAAGCUUGAGUACCGGAGGGGAGAGUGGAAUUCCUGGUGUAGCGGUGAAAUGCGUAGAUAUCAGGAGGAAUACCGGUGGCGAAAGCGACUCUCUGGACGGUUACUGACGCUGAGGCACGAAAGCGUGGGGAGCAAACAGG